GGAAAAAUAAAUAAUAUAAUUAUAAUGAUGUUUAAAUUUAAACAAUUAUACAUUGAAUUUCAAAAUCAUUAUAUUACUCAUAAACAUAUGAUCUAUGUAUAAAAUGUGUAUAAUUAAAAAUAUCCAAGUAUUAUGUGAUAUGUAUUUUAAUCAUAUACCCAAAUGUUUAUCGGUGGGUAUCUACUAGCUCUCAAGAAAAUUUUUGAGUUCAUUCACAUGUUGAAUAUAUCAUAAAAAUCUUGCUAAAUCUACUCCAAAUCUUUAAAAUACAAUACAUAUCUAAUAAAAUUUGAUGUUAGUACAAAGAGAUCAAACAAAAAAAUAUCAGCAACAUAUCACUCUACUACUCUCGAUCUCUCAUUCUCUAGAUCUUCCUUUUGAAGCCAAAACAGAGAACCAAGGAGGUUGUUACCCUCCUUUCAUCCAGUUUCCUUCCACCUGCAAUUGUCGAGGUUAGCAAGUCCAAACACUCUUUACCUGUUGCUGAUCACUGUUGUCUUCCCCGAUCACCAAAAACAGCUCACCGGCAAGGGGUUGUCACCGGAUGAAGUAAGCUAGUGAGUAUCGGCUGUCACCUCCCCCUCCGGUUGAUGAAACACCCAUUCCCUUCGUUACCAUCAGUUUCCCAGUAAAACCCAAACACCCUAAUGACUUCUAUCAAUCGAUCAAUCAAUAAGAAAAAGAAGAAGGAACCUGGGAAGCUGUCGGCCAUGGCAGCCCUCCUCCUCCUCCUCUGCCUUCCACUGUCGUCUAGCACCACCUAAACACCCCAGCUAAUGGUUUCCGAUCGGCAGCAAGCUAAUCACCAAACACCACUCCACCAUCGAUGGUUGUUGCUUUUGUUCCGUUGACUUCUGCGGUCGGCGAUGAGAAAGGAGCACGAGGACUCGCCGGAGACUGACCGCUGCUACGAUUUGUCGCCGGAGAAACCCACACCCUUCCUCCCUCGUUCUUCCUGUCGAUCAAACAACUCAAAACGAACCCCUACAGUUGCUUCUUCCUUCUUCGUGUGUGGCUGUCGAACGGACCAGAGAUGAAGAAACGAUGAGGAAGUCGCCGGAGCAACUCCUUCGCCACCACUGCUGUUGACAACAGCCACCACCGAACCACUCUUUUGCUUUCAUUCCCUUUUUCUUCUUCGAUCGGACACAAAGGAGAUGAAGACGACCUAAUCGAAAUUGGAGAUCACCGGAGAUCGACCCCAAUACCCUCCUCGCCGAUUACGUUCUUCACAGCUCCGAUUUGUUGGCUUUGCCGUUCCUUUUGCUUGGUCGGAUGAACGAUUGGAGAAGAAGAGGCGUCGACUCCCUUUUACCCAAACUGUGUAUCAGAUUGGCAGAAACAGUCCCUCCAUUAUAGCCUUGAACCUUAAAUCAGUCCCUUAAGUGGAAACCUUACAAAAAAAGUCUUGUGUGACUUAAGAUUUAUUAAAAUAGUCCCUUUUUAAUUAACUUAUCACAAAUCAGUCCUUGUGAUAAUUAAAUUACAAAAUAAUUUUCUUGUGAAAAUAAAAAGUAUUUCAAAACAUGUCCCUUUGACUUAAAAUAUUAUAAAAAUUGUCUCGGACCAUGUUUUAACUCAAAAGACGUCAAGAUGCGGUUAUUCACGAAAAGCUUCACCAAGAAGGACCGGGAUCGGACUCACGCUUCAAGGGUGAGUUUCUACGGCCCCUCUUUUACUGUUUUAAUAUUUUGGGGGAGAAUAUAUGUGUGUCUAUUAAAGUUUGAUGAUUUUCAAGUUUUAUAUACAAAAUAGCAUCAUAUUUUAUUAUUGGUCAAAAGUUUUUAUGAUAUAGCAAUCUAAAAUUGUGAUAAAUCACCAAUAAAUCUAUUAAGUUAAAAUGGAUUGUUAAAAGAUGAUAUAUUUAUACUAUACGUAAAAUAUAAAUAUAGAUAUUGAGAAAAUUCUUAAGAUUAUAAGUAGAUUGCUAAAAUAACACAUGUUGAUAUUAUAAGUCACACGAAUCAUGAUUGUAUAUGUAUAAGUUAAAGUAUCUCAUGGAAACACGGAAAGGUAUAAAAAUGACCAAAACUUAUUAUUCGCGUAUAAAGCGAAAGUACAUUGUCAUAAUUGAUGGAAUGAUUAAAUUCAUGAAUAUAUGAUUAUUAGUUAAAAUUAUAAGAUUUAACUUUUAAUACAUAUAUAAGGUUAUGUAUAAAUGAAGUGAGAAUUUAUUAAUAUAUUUUUAUAUUAAUUAUAACAACAUAACUUCAUUAUACUAAGUUAUUUAUUCUUAUCACAACAAAUAACAUGAUCGACUUCAGAGCUUAAGAGUCGCUAUUUACGAAAUAAAUAAUUGUCGAGUAUUGUAUUUAAAGACUUUAUCUUUAUCCCAAAUUAAAUGUAUUAAAAUUAUUCUCGGAUAAUUCAUAUAAAAUAUGGGGAAUAUAGAACUACGGUCGAUCCAAACUUGGAUAAAUUCAAAAAUUAGCUAUUAUGCUAAUACAACAUCGAAACCGUAUCUAAUAUGAUAAAUUCUUGAAGUUAUGAGAAUUUCAGUUAUCGUUUUCCUAAACGGUGAAUAAUGUUACAUAUCCAAUGAAUUUAGAAUGGAUUAUAUAGGUUCAUUAUACAUAUUGUAUGUAGGUUCAGCAUACCUACCCCAUGUAUUCCGUAUAGAUUUAUCAUACCUAUUCCAUGUAGGUUCAUCAUACCUACCCCAUGUAUUCCGUAUAGGUUCAUCAUACAUAUUCCAUGUAGGUUCACAUACCUACUNAUAGGUUCAUCAUACCUAUUCCAUGUAGGUUCAUCAUACAUACUUCAUAUAUUCCAUAUAGGUUCAUCAUACCUAUUCUAUAGGUUCAUCAUACCUAUUCUGAAUACCAUAUCCAAUACGUUUGAGUUUCCAUUAUAAACUAUUCCGAGUUUCGUGAAAGCUAAGAUGUAAAUACUUAGUAGAAACUCUCCAAUAUAUAACCGUUAAUCCUCAAGGGAAUGACUAACGUCGGGUCUAAGUGUCAUAUUAUUGAUCUUAUACGGUACGACCGCCCGCCUGGAGUUGCUAGCUACAACUACAUCUGACGAGAUGAAUUUUGGCGCUGACGUUAGCAUUAUCGAAACAUUACCACGUGUUACAACGAGGUGAAUGACUUUAGCACGCGCGCCUUAUUAUGGUGUCGGUGCAUUAAUAAAGUACAGUGUCACGAGUUCGGUUAUGAUUUCAUUAUAAAAUCCCAAUUUUGUUUCGUUAUCGUAUAGAAUCGAUAUUGGAUUUAUACGAGGUUUAUGUCCACUCAUUCCAGUUGAAAGAAACUAUAUUCAGUGGGAUUGCUUGUGACUCAAAGCGAUAAGUUUCAGUACCAAAACUUAAGUCAGAUAACACUUAAUUAAUAUCAUGACACGGCUCCGACAAGAUUUAUUAACUCACAUAAAUGAGUUAUUUAUAUAAACCAUUUGUCUUUAUAGUAAAACACAAUAUUUACUUGGGAGGAGUUUUCCCCACCGGUUAAGUGUCGAUUUUCAAAUUAAGUCAGAUAAUACUUAAUUAUUAUCACGACACGAUUUUACAAAGUUCAUAAAUUCAAUACUUAUGAGUUUUUCAUAUAAAUGAUACAAAUUUUUGUAUAAGGUUUCAAGAGUGAAGUUGGUUAUUUUAUGUUCUCACAAAGGGUAACAUUUCCUAUUUUAUAUAAUCCGAUAUUCAAAAUCUUUAUAUAAAAAUGCAUUUUGAUAUAAGUCUGAAUUACUUAUAUGUAUUUUCCAACUUUUGUACAUUUGGAUUUGAACAAAUGGUAUUUAUGAAUGAGUCAUAACACAUUGUUAUAACUCAAUUAUUUUAUACUUUUAAUAGAAAAGUAAACAUUUAUAAAAGCUAGUCAACCAGCUAAAUUUUAUCAAACACUUUUGGGUAUAAAAAUACUCUGUGUCAAAACCUGUAGAACUCACCAACAAUUUUGUUGACGUAUUUUAAUGCAUGUAUUCUCAGGUUAUUUAGCAGGUCGGAAGUGUUCGCUCAGAAAAC
rnacentral:lncRNA from 1 species